UACGAAGGGGGCUAGCGUUGUUCGGAAUCACUGGGCGUAAAGCGCACGUAGGCGGAUUGUUAAGUGAGGGGUGAAAUCCCGGGGCUCAACCCCGGAACUGCCUUUCAUACUGGCAAUCUUGAGUUCGAGAGAGGUAAGUGGAAUUCCGAGUGUAGAGGUGAAAUUCGUAGAUAUUCGGAGGAACACCAGUGGCGAAGGCGGCUUACUGGAUCGAUACUGACGCUGAGGUGCGAAAGCGUGGGGAGCAAACAGG
rnacentral:rRNA from 1 species